GGGCUCGGUUGGCCGGUUCCGGGCCCGUCCGUCCCCGGUGGGUUCAUCGGGGGCUGACCGGUGACGGGGUCGUGCGGGCCGUCUUCCGGCCCA
rnacentral:tRNA from 2 species